UGGCAUCAGGAAUUAAGGACACCAGU
rnacentral:piRNA from 1 species